UAGGGAAUCUUCCACAAUGGGCGCAAGCCUGAUGGAGCAACGCCGCGUGAGUGAAGAAGGGUUUCGGCUCGUAAAGACUCUGUUGUUGGAGAAGAACGUGCGUGAGAGUAACUGUUCACGCAGUGACGGUAUCCAACCAGAAAGUCACGGCUAACUACGUGCC
rnacentral:rRNA from 1 species